GGUGUUUAAGCUUAGCUGGGUCCUUUCGAGUUUGUUUUACAGCUUACUAGGUUAAGUAGUUUGCACUAUUUUUGCAAUAAAUCCAUGGAAAACCUAACAGUUAUUUGUUUUGUUUCUUAUUGUGUGUAUAUAAACUAAUACUAAAAAGUUUGGCAUAGUGUUUUUUUCACCUUACAUAACCUUUAACAUGCACAGAAUGCUGUAAAUCUGAUAAAAUAUGAUGUGAAUGAUAUUUUAUAAAGUUAUUUUGUAUGGUGUCAAUUUUGUUUUGCCUCAUACUAUGUCAGC
rnacentral:lncRNA from 1 species